rnacentral:rRNA from 1 species
GUGCCAGCGCCGCGGUAAUACGGGGGGAGCAAGCGUUGUCCGGAAUCAUUGGGCGUAAAGGGCAUGUAGGUUGUAAUUUAAGUCAGUUUUUAAAUGUCACGGCUUAACCGUGGACUGGAAUUGAAACUGGAUUACUUGAGUAUGAGAGGGGACAGAGGAAUACCUAGUGUAGCGGUGAAAUGCGUAGAUAUCAGGAGGAACACCGGUGGCGAAGGCGACUUCCUGGACCAAUACUGACGCUGAGGCGCGAAGGCGUGGGGAGCAAACAGGAUUAGAAACCCCAGUAGUCC